rnacentral:rRNA from 1 species
UACAGAGGGUGCGAGCGUUAAUCGGAAUUACUGGGCGUAAAGCGCGCGUAGGCGGCUUUGCAAGUCGGGUGUGAAAUCCCCAGGCUUAACCUGGGAACUGCAUUCGAGACUGCAUUGCUAGAGUAUGGGAGAGGGAAGUGGAAUUUCCGGUGUAGCGGUGAAAUGCGCAGAUAUCGGGAGGAACACCAGUGGCGAAGGCGGCACUCUGGGCCGGAACUGACGCUGAGGAGCGAAAGCGUGGGGAGCGAACAGG